AACGAACGCUGGCGGCAUGCCUAACACAUGCAAGUCGAACGAGACCUUCGGGUCUAGUGGCGCACGGGUGCGUAACGCGUGGGAACCUGCCCUUAGGUUCGGAAUAACUCCCCGAAAGGGGUGCUAAUACCGGAUAAUGUCUUCGGACCAAAGAUUUAUCGCCUUUGGAUGGGCCCGCGUUGGAUUAGCUAGUUGGUAGGGUAAAAGCCUACCAAGGCGACGAUCCAUAGCUGGUCUGAGAGGAUGAUCAGCCACACUGGGACUGAGACACGGCCCAGACUCCUACGGGAGGCAGCAGUGGGGAAUAUUGGACGAUGGGCGAAAGCCUGAUCCAGCAAGGCCGCGUGAGUGAUGAAGGCCUUAGGGUUGUAAAGCUCUUUUACCCGGGAUGAUAAUGACAGUACCGGGAGAAUAAGCUCCGGCUAACUCCGUG
rnacentral:rRNA from 1 species